rnacentral:rRNA from 1 species
UGGGGAAUUUUGCACAAUGGGGGAAACCCUGAUGCAGCGACGCCGCGUGAUUUAGAAGGCCUUCGGGUUGUAAAAAUCUUUUCUAUGGGAAGAAAAUGACAGUACCAUAGGAAUAAGGACCGGCUAAUUACGUGCCAGCAGCCGCGGUAAUACGUAAGGUCCGAGCGUUGUCCGGAAUCAUUGGGCGUAAAGGGUACGUAGGCGGGGAAGCAAGUUAGAAGUGAAAUCCUAUAGCUCAACUAUAGUAAGCUUUUAAAACUGCUCAUCUUGAGGUAUGGAAGGGAAAGUGGAAUUCCUAGUGUAGCGGUGAAAUGCGCAGAUAUUAGGAGGAAUACCGGUGGCGAAGGCGACUUUCUGGCCAUAACCUGACGCUGAGGUACGAAAGCGUGGGUAGCAAACAGG